UCAGCGGAGUCAGCAGAUAAAUGACACACAAAGCUGAGAGACUGGAGAGCAGGAAACCUUACACCUUUCUAUGAAAGCCACACGUGCACAGUGUCAACAGAGCUCCUGGUCAUAUUGGAAAAAUUGCUGAAGAAGGCUG